rnacentral:rRNA from 1 species
GACGAACGCUGGCGGCGUGCUUAACACAUGCAAGUCGAACGCAGUGGCGAACGGGUGAGUAACGCGUAAUCAACCUGCCCUUCAGAGGGGGACAACAGUUGGAAACGACUGCUAAUACCGCAUACUGAAGGAGGGGAUUGCGUCUGAUUAGCUAGUUGGUGGGGUACCGGCCCACCAAGGCGAUGAUCAUUAGGCGGGCUGAGAGGGUGAACGGCCACAUUGGGAAUGGGACACGGCCCCGACUCCUACGGGAGGCAGCAGGGGGGAAUCUUCCGGAAUUGACGAAAGUCUGACGGGGCAACGCCGGGUGAGGGAUGACGGCCUUCGGGUUGUAAAGCUCUGUUAAUCGGGACGCGGUACCGGAAUAGAAAGCCACGGCUAACUACGUGCCAGCCGCCGCGGUAAUUC